CUAGCGCCUUACUUCGAUUGAAAACAUCGACAAAUCUUACUGUCAUCCACAGGUUGUCACAUGUGCUUACAGUGUAGUGACAGCUCUACGUCUGCACGCAGCACACUGGCAUGUCAGCGCUGACAUGCUAACACGGAGCUAGCGUUAGCUUCAUGUUGUAAACAAGCGGAGACAGGCUAGCGUUACAUGCCACGUAUUUAGCUGAACAACCAGCACUACUUAAUCGUGAAGGGGAGCAGACUCUUAGAACACGACACUCGGGAUGUAAAAAUCUGGAAAUCACUGACACGAAGGCCGGCUGUCAGACAGAGACGAAGGCAGCCCGAGAACUUCUAGUUGCUGACAGCGGUGGGGGUGCUGGGAUUGGACGAGCGGCCACAGACGCCCGUCAUGCAGAGAGGGGGCAGCCGGGUUCACAGGUGCACAGCAUCUGACAGAUAAUAGCAGAUAAAAGGCGGGCUAACCUGCGGCUUGCUCCUCGCUAAGGGAGGGGAGACCCGUGGUGGUGGGUGUGUGGGUCAGAUGAGGAGGGGGUGCAGGGGCAUGUUAAAGGGGCUCUGACAACUUGCGGCCUUUACUUAACCACACACCAGCCAGAAUGAGACCAGUACACACACUUACAUACACAUGUCAAGGACAGGCAAGGUCUCGAUCAGAAAUCCCUCCACAGAAUCUCUCCCGCAGCUUACUGUACACUUGGAGGAGGUUAAGAUUGAUUUGGAGCUUAAUACAGAGUGUUUGCGCAGCUGUUGUGUCUGAAAAAGCACAUCAAAACCCAGCAGUCGUGUUAUUGGCUUUUUGUUUUUUGCUGCUCUUUUAUUAUCCUUGUAUUAAUUCUGGUUGAAAGAGCAGUGAGUCUCCCAAGUACAAUACAUUUUGUUUAUUGCACUGA